CAAUAGCGUAUAUGUAAAUUGUUGCGGUUGAAAGGCUCGUAGUUGGACUUCUGGCGUCCGCGUUCGGUCCGCCAAGCGCGUGCACUGUCUGCGGGCGUCGUUUCAGUCGACGUGGCGCGUCGGACUUCAUUGGCCGGUGCGUCGACUGUCGGCGACGUUACUUUGAGGAAAUCAGAGUGCUCAAAGCAAGCGUUCGCUCGUGACUUCACUAGCAUGGAAUAACACAGAUGGGCUCUUUCUCGCACUGUUGGUCUGCGUCAAUUGAGCAACGAUCGAUAGAGACGGUCGGGGGCAUUCGUAUUGCGCAGUUAGAGGUGAAAUUCUCCGAUCUGCGCAAGACGCACUAAUGCGAAAGCAGUUGCCAAGGACGUCCUCUUAUGA
rnacentral:rRNA from 1 species